UACGUAGGGUGCAAGCGUUAAUCGGAAUUAUUGGGCGUAAAGAGCUCGUAGGCGGUUUGUCGCGUCUGCCGUGAAAGUCCGGGGCUUAACCCCGGAUCUGCGGUGGGUACGGGCAGACUAGAGUGCAGUAGGGGAGACUGGAAUUCCUGGUGUAGCGGUGAAAUGCGCAGAUAUCAGGAGGAACACCGAUGGCGAAGGCAGGUCUCUGGGCUGUAACUGACGCUGAGGAGCGAAAGCAUGGGGAGCGAACAGG
rnacentral:rRNA from 1 species